rnacentral:misc_RNA from 1 species
UUAUUUAAAGACUAAAAGUUGCGUAACGGUUCACACACAUUGCUUGAUGAUUUUAUUGUUUAGUGCGGAUGAUAUUUCUUCUUUAACAAUGUGGUAAAAAGUAUAAGUAGAGAUUCCUUGAUUAAUUUAGGGUUAUUUUUAGUUUAGGUUGAGAUGUAUUUUUAUGUCUUGAUUGAUUAUUAGAAAUAAUUUUUAGUUUAUUUAAUUAACGAGUCUUGGUAAUUUUUGAAAACCGGUGUUGAGAUAUAGUUUUGAUUGGUAUUAGUUAAUAGAUUUUAGAUUUAUUGAUAUAAGACUUUUUGGGGUUAUAUGAU